CGUCAGUUGCUAGUUGGUAUCGCGGCUGUGUAAGUCGUGGCUCGCCAUAUUGUGUGAAUUUGGAUGUUUAUGUUCCGUAGUGUCGCGGUGUUUUCCUUGCCAAUUCGUUGUCUACCGGGAGUACGCUAUUAAAAGUGAAAGUGUGUCAUUACAGUUCUGAAAAUCGUAUGAAGAAAAGUUUUUCAAUAGUUGUGCUUCUCACUUCAUUGUUUUGAGGUUGGCACACCAGGCGUGAUUUAAAGUGCAAGUUGACGGGAAUACUGGCAGCAGACGACUUAUUUGUUUCGACAAGAAUGCCUGUUCGUAAACAAGGUGGUCGCUUGCAGCACGUUGUGAUCGGAGUGGGCGUGUGGGAGCCAGGCUACGGGCUCCCGAUACAGCUGUGCGGACGCAGUCACCACGCGCUUCUGGACCCGAGCCUUCGACCCUGCAGCGGCAUCCACAGGCUCGGCGCCGUGCGCGCCGACACAGUGGAAUCCUUUUCUCACGCCUUCUUCUGUAAUCUUCAAUGACAAGUCUUCUAACAUCACUAUUCCGAUCGUUUUGGAAGGCGAUCACCUCGUCCAGAAAUCUGUUCAAUGAGCCUGAACCUUGUUCUUUGAAAUUUCGUGGACUUCCGACAGAAUUUCUGUUUUUGUUGUGGUGCGAACGCCAGACACACCCGAUUAGCCACUCAAAACUCUCGUUAUGACUGCUCAUCUUUUGCCCACGCUGCAUCGCCUCUCACAUGUAUACCUUGGAGCCACAACGUAAUUUUUCUUCUACAAACGACCAUUCCAUUUUGUAAUACAGUGUAUUACGGACUUUGAACGAUAGGUAGCCGCAGAUAUGCACUAUUAAUUCAUUUUCACUCACACAAGCUACACUUUCGUGAUAUCAAGUAGUGUCUACCUGUGUCGGAAUGUUUUUUUAAUUGUUAAAAAUCCUUCGAAAUAUGUAAAUACAUCGUCCGUGUAAGAUGAUAAAUUUUAUCCACGUAAAUAUAACUACUGUAUGAAGAAAAGCAACCUACCCACAAUUAAGGUUUUUGACAUAUUUUUGUUCUGUGAGUUCUUUGUUACGAAAUACACGAAAGUUGAGUAAUUGACGUGUUACAUUAAUAGUAAAAUGAGCAGUACGAAUAAAUUUAUACCGGGAUCAUAAGUGGAAUUACCAAGAGGUAAAAAAAACCAGUCUGUAGACAAAAGCGGUGGUAUAUGUACUGUUACAAACUGCUGUAUUUGUUGAUUAAUAAAUGCAUAAAAUGUA